ACACACAGAUAUCUCCUUUACUAAUCACCUCUUCAUAUGAUCGAAUCUACACAAACAGACUGACAGCCUGGACUGCUCAGGUAUGCUCUCUACAUUGCCACUGGAAGAGCAUUUGAUUUCAGUCAGGAAGACAUGCCAAAA